rnacentral:rRNA from 1 species
CCUACGGGAGGCAGCAGUCGAGAAUCAUUCACAAUGGGGGAAACCCUGAUGGUGCGACGCCGCGUGGGGGAAUGAAGGUCUUCGGAUUGUAAACCCCUGUCAUCUGGGAGCAAAUUAAAAGGAUAGUACCACAAGAGAAAGAGACUGCUAACUCUGUGACAGCAGCCGCGGUAAUACAGAGGUCGCAAGCGUUGUUCGGAAUCACUGGGCGUAAAGCGUGCGUAGGCUGUUUCGUAAGUCGUGUGUGAAAGGCGCGGGCUUAACCCGCGGCCGGCACAUGAUACUGCGAGACUAGAGUAAUGGAGGGGGAACCGGAAUUCUCGGUGUAGCAGUGAAAUGCGUAGAGAUCGAGAGGAACACGCGUGGCGAAGGCGGGCUCCUGGACAUUAACUGACGCUGAGGCACGAAGGCCAGGGGAGCGAAAGGGAUUAGAUACCCUUGUAGUC